AGGUGCCAUCAUACCAGCACUUAUGUACUGGAUCCCAUAAGAACUCUGCAGUGAAGCAUGUUUGAGUAAAAGUAGUAAUAGGAUGGGUGACCUCCUGGGAAAUCAUCUUGUUGCACCUU
rfam:Lupinus angustifolius cultivar Tanjil contig_40829, whole genome shotgun sequence.